rnacentral:rRNA from 1 species
GAUCCAGACUUUGAUCCUGGCUCAGGAUGAACGCUGGCGGCGUGCCUAACACAUGCAAGUCGAACGGAGUUAUGAUGUGAGCGGGAAGUGCUUGCACAGCCCAAUCUUUUCAUAACUUAGUGGCGGACGGGUGAGUAACGCGUGGGUAACCUGCCCUGUACUGGGGGACAACAGUUGGAAACGACUGCUAAUACCGCAUAAGCGCACGGGAUCGCAUGAUCUAGUGUGAAAAACUCCGGUGGUACAGGAUGGACCCGCGUCUGAUUAGCUGGUUGGUGAGGUAACGGCCCACCAAGGCAACGAUCAGUAGCCGGCCUGAGAGGGUGAACGGCCACAUUGGGACUGAGACACGGCCCAAACUCCUACGGGAGGCAGCAGUGGGGAAUAUUGCACAAUGGGGGAAACCCUGAUGCAGCGACGCCGCGUGAGUGAAGAAGUAUUUCGGUAUGUAAAGCUCUAUCAGCAGGGAAGAAAAUGACGGUACCUGACUAAGAAGCCCCGGCUAACUACGUGCCAGCAGCCGCGGUAAUACGUAGGGGGCAAGCGUUAUCCGGAUUUACUGGGUGUAAAGGGAGCGUAGACGGCAUGGCAAGUCUGAAGUGAAAUGCGGGGGCUCAACCCCUGAACUGCUUUGGAAACUGCCAGGCUGGAGUGCAGGAGAGGUAAGUGGAAUUCCUAGUGUAGCGGUGAAAUGCGUAGAUAUUAGGAGGAACACCAGUGGCGAAGGCGGCUUACUGGACUGUAACUGACGUUGAGGCUCGAAAGCGUGGGGAGCAAACAGGAUUAGAUACCCUGGUAGUCCACGCCGUAAACGAUGAUUACUAGGUGUUGGGGAUUAAUAAAUCCUCGGUGCCGUCGCAAACGCAAUAAGUAAUCCACCUGGGGAGUACGUUCGCAAGAAUGCAACUCAAAGGAAUUGACGG